AGCAGCCGCGGUAAUUCCAGCUCCAAUAGCGUAUAUUAAAGUUGUUGCAGUUAAAAGCUCGUAGUUGAAUUUCGGGGUUAGUAGGUUGGUCAUGCCUCUGGUAUGUACUGGUCUCACUGAUUCCUCCUUCCUGAUGAGCCGUAAUGCCAUUAAUUUGGUGUUGCGGGGAAUUUGGACUGUUACUUUGAAAAAUUAGAGUGUUUAAAGCAAGCUAACGCUUGAAUACAUUAGCAUGGAAUAAUGAAAUAGGACGUUCGAUCCUAUUUUGUUGGUUUCUAGGAUUGACGUAAUGAUUAAUAGGGAUAGUUGGGGGCAUUAGUAUUCAAUUGUCAGAGGUGAAAUUCUUGGAUUUAUUGAAGACUAACUACUGCGAAAGCAUUUGCCAAGGAUGUUUUCAUUAAUCAAGAACGAAAGUUAGGGAUCGAAGACGAUCAGAUACCGUCGUAGUCUUAACCAUAAA
rnacentral:misc_RNA from 1 species